ACAAGAUACUUCUCAUUUCUAACACCAACUCUCCCAAGUCACAUCACAGAGUCAGCCAACCCAGAGACCACUGGCUCCUGUGGUUAUUUGGGUUAAACAGCAGCAUGAUGCUCCCUCUCCAACUCUAACCAACAGAAUUAACAAUGACCCCUUCCUCCAACACAUGAUUUACACAGCCAACAAAAAGAGCACACAAGGACAAUAUGGAGCAGGAGUACACAAUUUAUGGAUACUGCCACACCUGGGUACAGACUGUUCCCUCAGGGAGACUGAACUAGGGCUGAGAGCACAAGAUGCCCAACCAUUAAGUGGGCAUUUACUUUCCUG
rnacentral:lncRNA from 1 species